rnacentral:rRNA from 1 species
UUUAUAAAUAAAGAGUCGUGCCUGCCCAGUGAAAUUUUUUUAACGGCCGCAGUACCCUGACUGUGCUAAGGUAGCAUAAUCACUUGUUUUUUAAUUGAAAGCUUGUAUGAAUGGCUUGACGCGGGUAAAUCUGUCUCUUUUAUAUUAUUUAGAAAUUAAUUUUUAAGUGAAGAAGCUUAAAUAUAACCAAAAGACGAAAAGACCCUAUCGAGCUUAAAAAUUAAAAUUAAAUUAAAUUUUUUAGAAAAAUAAAUUUUAAUUAAUUUUUUUUAUUGGGGCGAUAAAAGAACAAAUAAAGCUUCUUUUUAUUAAAUAAAUUUAUAAAUUUUUAGAUCCAUAAUUUAUGACUAAAAGAAAAAGCUACCGUAGGGAUAACAGCGUUAUUUUUUCAGAGAGUGCAUAUCGAAGAAAAAGUUUGCGACCUCGAUGUUGGAUUGGGGUAACCUUUU